rnacentral:rRNA from 1 species
GUGCCAGCCGCCGCGGUAAUACGGAGGGGGCUAGCGUUAUUCGGAUUUACUGGGCGUAAAGCGCACGUAGGCGGAUCAGAAAGUUAGGGGUGAAAUCCCGGGGCUCAACCUCGGAACUGCCUCUAAAACUCCUGGUCUUGAGGUCGAGAGAGGUGAGUGGAAUUCCGAGUGUAGAGGUGAAAUUCGUAGAUAUUCGGAGGAACACCAGUGGCGAAGGCGGCUCACUGGCUCGAUACUGACGCUGAGGUGCGAAAGCGUGGGGAGCAAACAGG